rnacentral:rRNA from 1 species
UACGAAGGGGGCGAGCGUUGUUCGGAGUUACUGGGCGUAAAGGGCGCGUAGGCGGCCUUCUAAGUCGAACGUGAAAUCCCCGGGCUCAACCCGGGAACUGCGUCCGAUACUGGGAGGCUUGAAUCCGGGAGAGGGAUGUGGAAUUCCAGGUGUAGCGGUGAAAUGCGUAGAUAUCUGGAGGAACACCGGUGGCGAAGGCGGCAUCCUGGACCGGUAUUGACGCUGAGGCGCGAAAGCCAGGGGAGCAAACGGG